CACGGAGUUAGCCGGUGCUUAUUCUUCUGGUACCUUCAGCUACUUACACGUAAGUAGGUUUAUCCCCAGAUAAAAGUAGUUUACAACCCAUAAGGCCGUCAUCCUACACGCGGGAUGGCUGGAUCAGGCUUCCACCCAUUGUCCAAUAUUCCUCACUGCUGCCUCCCGUAGGAGUCUGGUCCGUGUCUCAGUACCAGUGUGGGGGUUCACCCUCUCAGGCCCCCUAAAGAUCAUCGUCUUGGUAAGCCGUUACCUUACCAACUAACUAAUCUUACGCAUGCCUAUCCUACUGCGAUAAAUCUUUCAAAACUAAAUGAUGCCAUUCAGUCUAUUAUAAAGUAUUAAUCCAAAUUUCUCUGGGCUAUCCUCUUCAGUAGGGCAAGUUGCAUACGCGUUACGCACCCGUGCGCCGGUCUCAAGUUAGCAAGCUAACUCUACCCCUCGGCUUGCAUGUGUUAAGCCUCCCGCUAGCGUUCAUCCUGAGCCAGGAUCAAACUC
rnacentral:rRNA from 1 species